rnacentral:lncRNA from 1 species
AUGUCAAUCAAGACGGCUCCAAGAGCUACACAAAGUCUGGCUUAUCACUGUUUGAUAAGGAUCCGGUCCAGUCAAGCCGUGCCAAAGCCCCUUACAGGAAACCCUCUGACCUUCACUUCAAGAUCACGCAAAGAGCUUGAAAAGAUGAAAGUGUUCCACAUAUGUGCAUGUUCAAGGCAACGUUUCUUAAAGCUCUUUUUUUUCCCUGUAAUAAAAAUCAGGACAGUAAAUGCACUGUGUAGGAGUACAGAAAAACAAGGUCUCUCGAGAGCAUUUGGUAUACAAUAUGUACUGGUAAAAGAGUGAAAAUUAGCGGAAUGAGUUGCCCAUUAGGGAGGCAUCAGGGAAGCUACAGCUGCUCUCAGCAAACUGCAGUUAAGCUCAGUAGUGCCUUCAAAUUAAUAAAUGGACACUGUACACUGAAGCA